UGAAACAUCUCGUCAGUUACCUUAUCCCCGUCGCGUCGAUCGCCGAGGGUUUUCCGGCGUCGGCUUCCUUUUCAAUCUAAUUUCCGGAGGAUCUCGCGAAUUCCGAACUGGACAAAGGAAUGUUGGUUCCACAGUUUUGUACUUUGAGGGACACAUAAAUCGUUGGUACUAUUCUAUUACUACAGCAACAAGCUACUCAUAUAAAGCAUCGAACUUUGGGAACUAAAGGAGGUUAUGAUUAACGCAGAGCUCUUGAUCCUCCAUGGAAUGAUUCUUUGGAAGACCCACUUCAAGUUUUCCCCUGUUUGCCUGGAGGACUGGAGGAGAUUGGAUAGUGAUUGCUGGCUCAAAAACAAAGAGGAAGACCGGUCUUUGGUCCAAAAACAGAACACCCAUUUGCUGAUUCGAGCUUCCUUUUCUUUUCUGCAUUCUCGAGGUUAGUCCUAAAGGUGCAGCCUUUCCUUUACUUUAAAACCCAAACACAUAUUUGAAACUCUUUUGUGUUAAAUAUAAUCAUGAAAUCUUGAAGGUUGAUCUGUAGAGGAGAAUGUUUAAGUUCCGUUUUUCUUUUGAAUUUUAAAGUGUAAUAUUCUUAUUCCCGAUGAGAUCUCUGAUGUGGCCUGAGUGAAGCAGCCACCAUGAGAAAGGGUCCAAAAGAGGCCUAAAAGCAAACCUUGGGUUCUAAUUGGAAUUGAAUCUAAAUGAUGAUAUUUCCUUUGGAUAAAGCUCUAAUACACAGAUUCAUUCAGACAAUUAUGGCUGAUGACAACAGCUCUAAUAUAGAUUAAGCCACUAACACCAUAUGCUUUUUGCAUGGAAAUCUGUGUGAAGAUACAUCAUCCACUAUCUUGUAUCAGUAGUGUUUAUGUGCAUUUUUAUGAGCUCGUUACUACUUUGAUCUAAAAACUACUACAGUUCAAGUUAUUUAAUUUUAGUAUGGGUUAUGUUUGUAAUAGGAAAAACGGAGUCUACAUUCUGUGAUCAACAUUUUCUUUUUUGAAACAAUUUCAGGUAGAGACACAUUCAUUACACACGGAGAUGUAAACUUUAUUAACAGUUACUCAUCCACAGGCUUGGACCCCACCUGUCCACUCUACAAAGGGUGAUAAAUGAUAAUGGUGGUCGGAGAGAUGCUUUUUUUUUUUGCCGGAAACAGACAGAGAUCAAACAGUCUCCUGAUGUUCGGACAUGGCAGGAGCCGGACCUGUGGCUAUUGUGAAAUGAACGCCCCUAUUACGCUGUCCAGAUUGCAACACAUAUGCAACUCGCCUAGCCAAUGCUGUGGCUUCCUGUGUUUAAUAGUCCAGCAAAGAUCAAAGACGAAAGUGAGCGGGCGUAAAGAUAAUCGGGAUAUUAUUCAAAAUGCGCAAAAUCCUGCCUCUGCUUCUCAACACGGGAGCAGGAACCCAGCAGCUCGGAGGAGGAAAAGCUGUAAAAGAAUAUUUGCAACGUAAAUACAGCGCGUAGACAGGAGACUCACUUUGUCCGUAUCGGGACCUGUC